CCUAAUUUCCAUUUCAUCUCGCCUGUAAUGCCUGAUAAAGCAGCGUUUGUGAGCACAGUGCUGCUUUGUGUACAGCGUUACCGGGGAAACAGCCAUUUUUACUGCUCCAAAAGCGGCACCUAGUGGCAAAGAAUGAAUUUGCAUUUUCAUUCAGACCAAUGCGAAAAGACCAACUAGUGUGGGGGCAAUACGCUAAUGUUUCAUGUUGAAGUCAACAUGAAACGCCUUGGGAUUCGUUUUAAAAACGACUCGUUUAAAUGAUUCAUAGUCGACUCUUUCUUUUGAGAGACAAUAACUUUAUACACGGUGCACUUUCAGAUUUAAAACUUUGUAGGAUGUUUUCAUUCACUUAGAGCUGUGUUACACACUGCAUGAAAGAUAAUUUUAAAAAAUUCAUAAUAGGGGCACUUUUAGUGAUGGAGUGGGGUUAAUUGUGGAUUAUUGUGAUGUUUUUAUCAGCUGUUUGGACUCUCAUUCUGACGGCACCCAUUCACUACAGAGGAUCCAUUGAUGAGCAAGUGAUAUAAUAUGAAAUGUCUCCAACUCUGUUCUGAUGAAGAAACAAAGUCAUCUACAUCUUACAUGGCCUGAGGGUAAGUAACUGUCAACAAAUUUUCAUUUUUGGGUGAACUAUUCCUUUAAGAAAACACUCUCUUAGCUGUGUCUUUGUCUUUAGGCCCAGCGGCAUGAGUCAAGCGGAACUUUGCACAGCCCCUCCGCAGGUGUCCAAACAAGAAGAUGAUAUGCUUUCAGAAGAUUCGGUGCUCCCCACAUUCACCUGUGAAGCUUUGACAACAAAACUAAUCGGCCAUCAUUGAGGCCGCAGUUGACCUUUGACCUCAGCUGUCAGUUGCCCCCUGGAGAUGCAGUUCGAGGCUCUCGAGUUCAAUAACACCUCCAACCAAUUGGAGUAUGCUCCCAACACACACACCUGUGUGACAGUCUUCAACAAGCACAUCCAGAUACAUGCUGGGACAUGAGGCACAGACACACAAGUUUACUUAGUUAUCUAAGUGAGGAAAUACCAUUGACUUUAUUGUUUCUAAAUAAAGCAGAUUAUAACAAAAUAAGC
rnacentral:lncRNA from 1 species